rnacentral:rRNA from 1 species
GAUGAACGCUGGCGGCGUGCCUAAUACAUGCAAGUCGAGCGAACAGACGAGGAGCUUGCUCCUCUGACGUUAGCGGCGGACGGGUGAGUAACACGUGGAUAACCUACCUAUAAGACUGGGAUGACUUCGGGAAACCGGAGCUAAUACCGGAUAAUAUAUUGAACCGCAUGGUUCAAUAGUGAAAGACGGUUUUGCUGUCACUUAUAGAUGGAUCCGCGCCGCAUUAGCUAGUUGGUAAGGUAACGGCUUACCAAGGCAACGAUGCGUAGCCGACCUGAGAGGGUGAUCGGCCACACUGGAACUGAGACACGGUCCAGACUCCUACGGGAGGCAGCAGUAGGGAAUCUUCCGCAAUGGGCGAAAGCCUGACGGAGCCACGCCGCGUGAGUGAUGAAGGUCUUCGGAUCGUAAAACUCUGUUAUUAGGGAAGAACAAAUGUGUAAGUAACUAUGCACGUCUUGACGGUACCUAAUCAGAAAGCCACGGCUAACUACGUG